rnacentral:misc_RNA from 1 species
GAUGAAGAACGUAGCGAAAUGCGAUAAGUAGUGUAAAUUGCAGAAUUCAGUGAAUCAUCGAAUCUUUGAACGCACAUUGCGCCCCUUGGUAUCCCGAGGGGCAUGCCUGUUCGAGCGUCAUUUCACCACUCAAGCCUGGCUUGGUGUUGGGCGACGUCCUCUUUGGGGACGCGCCUCGAAACGCUCGGCGGCGUGGCACCGGCUUUAAGCGUAGCAGAAUCUUUCGCUUUGGAAGUCGGGGCCCCGUCUGCCGGAAGACCUGCUCGCAAGGUUGACCUCGGAUCAGGCAGGGAUACCCGCUGAACUUAAGCAUAUCAAUAAGCGGAGGA